UUAGACGGCCAUAGUGGCGUGGUUCCACCCGAUCCCAUUUCGAACUCGGAAGUUAAGCACGCCGACGUUCCGUGCUGUACU
rnacentral:rRNA from 1 species